rnacentral:rRNA from 1 species
UUAGCAUAUCAAUAAGCGGAGGAAAAGAAACCAACAGGGAUUGCCCUAGUAACGGCGAGUGAAGCGGCAACAGCUCAAAUUUGAAAUCUGGCUUCGGCCCGAGUUGUAAUUUGCAGAGGAUGUUUAUGGUGCGGUACCUUCCGAGUUCCCUGGAACGGGACGCCACAGAGGGUGAGAGCCCCGUCUGGUUGGAUACCAAACCUGUGUUAAACUCCUUCAACGAGUCGAGUAGUUUGGGAAUGCUGCUCUAAAUGGGAGGUAAAUCUCUUCUAAAGCUAAAUACCGGCCAGAGACCGAUAGCGCACAAGUAGAGUGAUCGAAAGAUGAAAAGCACCUUGAAAAGGGGGUUAAACAGUACGUGAAAUUGUUGAAAGGGAAGCGUUUAUGACCAGACUUGUGUCGUGUGGCUCAUCCGAGGUUCUCCCCGGUGCACUCCACGCGACUCAGGCYAACAUCGGUUUUCGUCGGAGGAGAAGAAUGCCAGGAACGUAGCUCCUCUCGGGGAGUGUUAUAGCCUAGUAUACGAUACUCUGACGGGGACCGAGGACCGCGCUUCGGCUAGGAUGUUGGCGUAAUGGUCAUUAGCGACCCGUCUUGAAACACGGACCAAGGAGUCGUCCAUUAGAGCGAGCGUUUGGGUGUCAAACCCGCACGCGUAAUGAAAGUGAAAUUAGGUGAGAGCUUCGGCGCAUCAUCGACCGAUCCUGAAGUUUACGGAUGGAUUUGAGUAAGAGUUUUAACGGACGGACCCGAAAGACAGUGAACUAUGCUUGAAUAGGGUGAAGCCAGAGGAAACUCUGGUGGAGGCUCGCAGCGGUUCUGACGUGCAAAUCGAUCGUCAAAUUUGAGCAUGGGGGCGAAAGACUAAUCGAACUGUCUAGUAGCUGGUUACCGCCGAAGUUUCCCUCAGGAUAGCAGUGUUGACCUUCAGUUUUAUGAGGUAAAGCGAAUGAUUAGGGACUCGGGGGCGCUUAUUAGCCUUCAUCCAUUCUCAAACUUUAAAUAUGUAAGAAGCCCUUGUUACUUCAUUGAACGUGGGCAUUCGAAUGUACCAACACUAGUGGGCCAUUUUUGGUAAGCAGAACUGGCGAUGCGGGAUGAACCGAACGGGGGGUUAAGGCGCCAGAAUGUACGCUCAUCAGACACCACAAAAGGCGUUAGUACAUCUUGACAGCAGGACGGUGGCCAUGGAAGUCGGAAUCCGCUAAGGACUGUGUAACAACUCACCUGCCGAAUGUACUAGCCCUGAAAAUGGAUGGCGCUCAAGCGUACUGCCCAUACCCCCCCUUCAGGGUAGAAACGAUGCCCUGAAGAGUAGGCGGCCGUGGAGGUUGUGACGAAGCCUAGGGC